rnacentral:rRNA from 1 species
GACGAACCGUACGAGCGUUGUUCGGAAUCACUGGGCUUAAAGGGCGCGUAGGCGGGCGUGUAAGUCUGCGGUGAAAGCCCCCGGCUCAACCGGGGAAGGGCCGUGGGUACUGCGCGUCUGGAGGCGGGUAGGGGCGUCUGGAACCAUGGGUGGAGCGGUGAAAUGCGUUGAUAUCCAUGGGAACUCCGGUGGCGAAAGCGAGGCGCUGGACCCGCACUGACGCUGAGGCGCGAAAGCCAGGGGAGCGAACGGG